UACGUAGGGGGCUAGCGUUGUUCGGAAUUACUGGGCGUAAAGCGCACGUAGGCGGGUUGUUAAGUCAGGGGUGAAAUCCUGGAGCUCAACUCCAGAACUGCCUUUGAUACUGGCAACCUAGAGACUGGAAGAGGUUAGUGGAAUUCCCAGUGUAGAGGUGAAAUUCGUAGAUAUUGGGAAGAACACCAGUGGCGAAGGCGGCUAACUGGUCCAGCACUGACGCUGAGGUGCGAAAGCGUGGGGAGCAAAACAGGAUUGAGAUACC
rnacentral:rRNA from 1 species